UUCAGUGCCCGAGUUGUAAUUUGUAGAAUUUGUCUUUGAUUAGGUCCUUGUCUAUGUUCCUUGGAACAGGACGUCAUAGAGGGUGAGAAUCCCGUUUGGCGAGGAUACCUUUUCUCUGUAAGACUUUUUCGAAGAGUCGAGUUGUUUGGGAAUGCAGCUCAAAGUGGGUGGUAAAUUCCAUCUAAAGCUAAAUAUUGGCGAGAGACCGAUAGCGAACAAGUACAGUGAUGGAAAGAUGAAAAGAACUUUGAAAAGAGAGUGAAAAAGUACGUGAAAUUGUUGAAAGGGAAGGGCAUUUGAUCAGACAUGGUGUUUUUUGCAUGCACUCGCCUCUCGUGGGCUUGGGCCUCUCAAAAAUUUCACUGGGCCAACAUCAAUUCUGGCAGCAGGAUAAAUCAUUAAGAAUGUAGCUACUCCGUAAUGGUUAUNCCUUUUGGAAU
rnacentral:rRNA from 1 species